UCACCUUCUAAAGAUACUUCAUCAUAAUAGGAUCUCGGACUUCAAAUUUGCUCUUAACCUGUUCAGCAAUUAAUUGUGAGUUGGUGAAGACCUUCAGACUUUCGAUGUCAAGCUCUUUGACAAUUUUUAAGCCGACUAAGAGUGCUUCAUAUUCGACUUGAUUAUUAGAAGCUUUGAAAUCAAAUCGGAGGGCAUAUUCAAAUAUAACCCCUUCAGAGUUGGUGA
rnacentral:lncRNA from 1 species